UGACCUGGUCUAAGGGUGUAGGGCUGCCGGUAGGUAAAUCCGCCGGCUGUGUGCCUGAGACCUGAUGGGCGCCCACAUGUGGGUGAUCCGGUGAUCCUAUGCUGCCUAGAAAAGCAUCGGCGCGAGGUUCAAACUGCCCGUACCCUAAACCGACACAGGUGGUCAGGUAGAGAAUACUAAGGCGAUCGAGAGAAUCAUGGUUAAGGAACUCGGCAAAAUGCCCCGUAACUUCGGAGAGGCCCCAACCUUGAGCACCACUCGCUGGUGUGAGGGGAUCGGGGCCGCAGAGACCAGGGGGAAGCGACUGUUUAUCAAAAACACAGGUCCAUGCGAAGUCGUAAGAGAUGUAUAUGGACUGACUCCUGCCCGGUGCUGGAAGGUUAAGGGGACCCGUUAGCUUCGGCGAAGCGGAGAACUUAAGCCCCAGUAAACGGCGGUGGUAACUAUAACCAUCCUAAGGUAGCGAAAUUCCUUGUCGGGUAAGUUCCGACCUGCACGAAUGGAGUAACGACUUCCCCGCUGUCUCAACCGUGAACUCGGCGAAAUUGCAUUACGAGUAAAGAUGCUCGUUACGCGCAGAAGGACGGAAAGACCCCGUGCCUUUACUAUAGUUGGUAUUGGUGUUCGGUGUGGCUUGUGUAGGAUAGGUGGGAGACUGUGAAGCGGGCACGCCAGUGUUCGUGGAGUCAUCGUUGAAAUACCACUCUGAUCACUCU
rnacentral:rRNA from 1 species